rnacentral:rRNA from 1 species
UGCGUAGGUGGGUAAGUAAGUCCGUGGUGAAAUCUCUGAGCUUAACUCAGAAACUGCCGUGGAUACUAUUUGUCUUGAAUAUUGUGGAGGUGAGCGGAAUAUGUCAUGUAGCGGUGAAAUGCUUAGAUAUGACAUAGAACACCAAUUGCGAAGGCAGCUCACUACACAGUAAUUGACGCUGAGGCACGAAAGCGUGGGGAUCAAACA